rnacentral:lncRNA from 1 species
AAAAAAUGGUAUAGGCGUUAAAAAACUACACUCGACUGAGUUAGAAUAUGGAGGAAAAGGAAGUAUGGAGAUCAAAAGAAAACAUCAGGAUUUGGGAGCUUGGACACAGUAUCUACUUGAUUGGAUUGAGGAAUGCCUAGAUGGCUGAGGAAACACUGUGUUUGGGUGUGUCUAUGAAGGGGUGUCCAGAGGAGAUUGACAUAUAAAUCAGUGGACUGAGAGAGGAAGCCCUGCCCUCAGUGUGGGCGGGCACCAUCCUAUGACUGGUAUCUUCAAUGGGACAAACUGGGAAGGCAGAUUUUCUUUCUCAUUGGUCUCUUCCUCUCUUCUGGAGUUGGACGCUUUACUCCUCCUAAUCUUGGACAUCAGAUUCCAGGUUCUUUGGAUUUUGGACUCUGAGACCUGCACCAGGAGCCUCCUGGGGGCUCUUCGGCCUUCACCCUCAAACUGGGGGUUGCACAGUGGGCUUCCCUGGGUCUCAGGCUUGCUAAGUGAGUUGC